AUGCAUAGAAAAAGCGAAAUUGAAAAGAAUGAGCAUCUCAUCUGCUUAAAUGCUGCAAUUGAUGUUUGUCGAUACUUGUUGCAUCAGGGGCAACCUUUCCGUGGUCACAAUGAAUCUAAAGAUUCUGAAAAUAAAGGAAACUACCGUGAGUUGAUGGAUUACACUAUUAAUCAAAAUGAUGUCGUUGCUAAGGCCUUCAAGAAUGCUCCAGGGAAUAAUCAGUUGUUGUCUCCAACAAUUCAGAGAGAUAUUACCGAGUGUUUCGCAAAAGAAAUAUUGAGUUAUGUGAUGGAAGAAAUUGGUAAUGGUGCUUUUAGCUUAUUAGUUGAUGAGUGUCGAGAUGUUUCCGACAAAGAACAAAUGGCAGUUGUGCUCCGAUACGUUGAUAAAUGUGCGCCGGUCCAAGAAAAGUUUGUUGGUGUUGUCCAUGUGGAGGAGACAACAGCUUCUUAUCUCAAGUCUUGCAUAGAUUUAUUAUUUUCGCAACUUGGUUUGAAUAUUAAACAAGUUAGAGGCAAAGGUUAUGACGGUGCAAGUAAUAUGUCUGGUGAGUUUAAUGGUUUGCAACAUAAAAUUACGAGUGAGAACAAUUCAGCAUAUUAUAUACAUUGUUUUGCUCAUAAACUCAACCUGGUUGUUGUGGCUAUUGCAAAAAAGAUACUCGAUGUAGGAGAUUUCUUUGAUAUGGUUUCAGUUUUGCUGAAUGUCGUGGGAGCAUCUUGCAAGAGAAAAGACCAACUUCGUGAGCAUAAUCAAGAAGAAGUGAGGAAAGCAAUUGGUUGUGGAGAGAUCUCUACAGGAACGGGACUAAAUCAAGAACUAUCACUUCAGAGACCAGGUGGCACUCGAUGGAACUCCCAUGAUAAAACAUUGUUGGGUUUGUCAAAGAUGUUCUCGUCGGUGGUUAAAGUUCUAGAAUAUGUUGAGAAAGACGACACAGAUACUGGAAAGAGGCGUCAAGCUAGAGGUCUUCUCAAAUAUUUCCAGACUUUUGAUUCUUCAUUUUUCUUACAUAUGAUGAUGAUGCUAUUAGCUUUAACAAAUGGACUGUCAAAAACCUUACAGAGAAAGGAUAAAGACAUUGUAAAUGCUAUUUCAGAUGUGGAAUCAACUAAACAGGAGUUAGAAAAGCUCAGAACCAAUGAAGGGUGGGAUUCUCUUAUGAGGAAGGUAUAUUGUUUCUGUGAGAAACAUGACAUUCCAAAGCCAAGACAAAAGACCGGUAUUAACAAUGAACAUUAUUACCGCGUUGACUGUUUCUUUGCUGUUCUGGAUCUGUUAGGAGAAGAGUUUAAUGACAGAUUUAAUGAGGUAAAUUCUGAGUUGCUUCUAUGCAUGUCUGCUUUGAGCCCAAGUGAUUUAUUUUUUCGUUUUGACAAGGCGAAGUUGCUGAAAUUAGCUAAGCAUUAUCCUGAUGACUUUAAUCACAAAGAUAUGGUGACUCUUGAGCAUGAACUUGGUCUCUACAUAGAUAAUAUACUCCAUGAUACAAGGUUUUCUAGAUUGGAAAAAAUAGGUGAUCUAGCUAAACUGAUGGUGGAUACAAGGAAGCACCUCUCCUAUCCUUUGGUAUAUCGGCUUUUGAAGCUAGCUUUGACUCUUCCUGUUGCCACUGCCGCUGUUGAGAGAUGUUUUUCAGCUAUGAAGAUUGUGAAGAAUGCUAUGCGUAACAAAAUUGGUGAUGAUUAUUUGAGCCAUAGCCUAAUUCGCUUUGUGGAAAAGGGACUGCUGGACGAAAUUACUAAUGAAGUGAUUGUUGAUCGUUUGAUAAGAUGA
rnacentral:rRNA from 1 species